ACGGGACCCCGCACAAGCGUGGAGUAUGUGGUUAAUUCGAAGCAAACGCGUAAGAACCUUUACCAGGUCUUGACAUGGUGUUUAAGGCCCUAGAGAUAGGGAGAUAAUAAGCACACACAGGUGGUGCAUGGUUGUCGUCAGCUCGUGUCGUGAGAUGUUGGGUUAAGUCCCGCAACGAGCGCAACCCUUGUCUUUAGUUACCAUCAUUCAGUUGGGGACUCUAGAGAGACUGCCGGUGAUAAACCGGAGGAAGGUGGGGAUGACGUCAAAUCAUCAUGCCCCUUAUGACCUGGGCUACACACGUACUACAAUGGCGCAUACAACGAGCUGCGAGAUGGUGACAUCAAGCGAAUCUCUUAAAAUGCGUCUCAGUUCAGAUUGGAGUCUGCAACUCGACUCCAUGAAGUCGGAAUCGCUAGUAAUCGCGGAUCAGAAUGCCGCGGUGAAUACGUUCCCGGGCCUU
rnacentral:rRNA from 1 species